rnacentral:rRNA from 1 species
UACGAAGGUGGCAAGCGUUGUUCGGAAUCAUUGGGCUUAAAGAGCAUGUAGGCGGCCCAGCAAGCGUCCUGUGAAAUCCCUCGGCUCAACCGAGGAAUUGCGUGGCGAACUGCUGGGCUUGAGGCAGGUAGGGGCGUGUGGAACUCUUGGUGGAGCGGUGGAAUGCGUAGAUAUCAAGAGGAACGCCGGUGGCGAAGGCGACACGCUGGGCCUGUCCUGACGCUGAGAUGCGAAAGCCAGGGGAGCGAACGGGAUUAGAUACCCCCGUA